ACUCCUACGGGAGGCAGCAGUGGGGAAUAUUGCACAAUGGGCGCAAGCCUGAUGCAGCCAUGCCGCGUGUAUGAAGAAGGCCUUCGGGUUGUAAGUACUUUCAGCAGUGAGGAAGGUGGGUAUGUUAAUAGCAUAUUCAUUUUGACGUUUAGCUGCAGAAGAAGCACCGGCUAACUCCGUGCCAGCAGCCGCGGUAAUACGGAGGGUGCGAGCGUUAAUCGGAAUUACUGGGCGUAAAAGCGCAUGCAGGUGGUUUGUUAAGUCAGAUGUGAAAGCCCGGGGCUCAAACCUCGGAAUUGCAUUUGAAACUGGCAAACUAGAGUACUGUAGAGGGGGUAGAA
rnacentral:rRNA from 1 species